CCGUCACUAGCUCAUCAGGAAAGAGCAUCAACCUUCUAAGUUGAGUUUACGGGGUUCGAGUCCUCGGUGGCGGUCCA
rnacentral:tRNA from 1 species